UACGUAGGGUCCGAGCGUUGUCCGGAAUUAUUGGGCGUAAAGAGCUCGUCGGCGGUUUGUCGCGUCUGCUGUGAAAUCCCGAGGCUCAACCUCGGGCCUGCAGUGGGUACGGGCAGACUGGAGUGCGGUAGGGGAGAAUGGAAUUCCUGGUGUAGCGGUGGAAUGCGCAGAUAUCAGGAAGAACACCCGUGGCGAAGGCGGCUCUCUGGGACGGUACUGACGCUGAGACGCGAAAGCGUGGGGAGCGAACAGG
rnacentral:rRNA from 1 species